rnacentral:rRNA from 1 species
GACGAACGCUGGCGGCGUGCUUAACACAUGCAAGUCGAACGAUGAAGCCUUUCGGGGUGGAUUAGUGGCGAACGGGUGAGUAACACGUGGGUAAUCUGCCCUGCACUCUGGGAUAAGCCCGGGAAACUGGGUCUAAUACCGGAUAUGACUUUCUUACGCAUGUAGGAAGGUGGAAAGUUCCGGCGGUGCAGGAUGAACCCGCGGCCUAUCAGCUUGUUGGUGGGGUAAUGGCCUACCAAGGCGACGACGGGUAGCCGGCCUGAGAGGGCGACCGGUCACACUGGGACUGAGACACGGCCCAGACUCCUACGGGAGGCAGCAGUGGGGAAUAUUGCACAAUGGGCGAAAGCCUGAUGCAGCGACGCCGCGUGAGGGAUGACGGCCUCGG